rnacentral:lncRNA from 1 species
AGGAAAAGAAUCCCUGGAGUAAUGAACUCUCCCCAAUGCCGCUGGUCUCCGUUCACUAUCAAGUGCGGUAAACCGUCUGACCCGCAUAACAAUCCGUACUUCCCGUAGUUGUCGAACCUAACAUACAUUCAUAAGCACAUCAACUUCAAACCAAUCCACAGUUCCACAAGCUCCUCAAUAGAUCAUAUCAAUGAUCAAAUUUAACAUGUCUAGCAACUUCGAAAACUCACUAACUCACCAAAAAAAUCAUACUAAAGCAAUGGAUCUAGCAAGUAAUUCACUAAAACAGAGAAAAACUCUGUUUCAGAACAGAGGAAAGCUCUGUUUCAGAACAGAGAAAAAGCUCUGGUUUAACGAAGAAAUAGAAAUGGAAGACGAACCUGCGUUUGGUUUUCUCGAUCUGAGCAUUGAGAGCAAGAGCAGGGGCAGAUUCAGGAGCGUAGAGCUUAAGAGAAGAUUCAAGCUUCUUGAUCUGUUGCUUCUCUCUUUUAGCGAACUGUUUUGAGUCCUUGCAAGGAGUCAAACCUGAGAUAUCAGCGACAGCUGGCAUAGGAGCAGAGAGGAGGAUGGAAGAGAGGGCGACGGCGGCGGAGAAAGCUUUCAUGGAUUGAGGUGUGGAGGAGGAGGAUUUGUCAUCGGAGCAGACGAAUCUUGCGGAGGAUUUAGGUACGGAUUGAGUGAGAGAUUUGUUAGAUCUCGGGUUGAGAACGAGAUUCGCCGGGAUAGUGAGCGACAUGGCGCUUUGUCGGGUUCUUUGGAGAUUUCGAAUUCUAGGGUUCUGGA